rnacentral:rRNA from 1 species
AUUGAACGCUGGCGGCAGGCCUAACACAUGCAAGUCGAGCGGUAGCACAGAGAGCUUGCUCUCGGGUGACGAGCGGCGGACGGGUGAGUAAUGUCUGGGAAACUGCCUGAUGGAGGGGGAUAACUACUGGAAACGGUAGCUAAUACCGCAUAACGUCGCAAGACCAAAGUGGGGGACCUUCGGGCCUCAUGCCAUCAGAUGUGCCCAGAUGGGAUUAGCUAGUAGGUGGGGUAACGGCUCACCUAGGCGACGAUCCCUAGCUGGUCUGAGAGGAUGACCAGCCACACUGGAACUGAGACACGGUCCAGACUCCUACGGGAGGCAGCAGUGGGGAAUAUUGCACAAUGGGCGCAAGCCUGAUGCAGCCAUGCCGCGUGUGUGAAGAAGGCCUUCGGGUUGUAAAGCACUUUCAGCGGGGAGGAAGGCGGUGAGGUUAAUAACCUCACCGAUUGACGUUACCCGCAGAAGAAGCACCGGCUAACUCCGUGCCAGCAGCCGCGGUAAUACGGAGGGUGCAAGCGUUAAUCGGAAUUACUGGGCGUAAAGCGCACGCAGGCGGUCUGUCAGUCGGAUGUGAAAUCCCCGGGCUCAACCUGGGAACUGCAUUCGAAACUGGCAGGCUAGAGUCUUGUAGAGGGGGGUAGAAUUCCAGGUGUAGCGGUGAAAUGCGUAGAGAUCUGGAGGAAUACCGGUGGCGAAGGCGGCCCCCUGGACAAAGACUGACGCUCAGGUGCGAAAGCGUGGGGAGCAAACAGGAUUAGAUACCCUGGUAGUCCACGCUGUAAACGAUGUCGAUUUGGAGGUUGUGCCCUUGAGGCGUGGCUUCCGGAGCUAACGCGUUAAAUCGACCGCCUGGGGAGUACGGCCGCAAGGUUAAAACUCAAAUGAAUUGACGGGGGCCCGCACAAGCGGUGGAGCAUGUGGUUUAAUUCGAUGCAACGCGAAGAACCUUACCUGGUCUUGACAUCCACAGAACUUUCCAGAGAUGGAUUGGUGCCUUCGGGAACUGUGAGACAGGUGCUGCAUGGCUGUCGUCAGCUCGUGUUGUGAAAUGUUGGGUUAAGUCCCGCAACGAGCGCAACCCUUAUCCUUUGUUGCCAGCGGUUAGGCCGGGAACUCAAAGGAGACUGCCAGUGAUAAACUGGAGGAAGGUGGGGAUGACGUCAAGUCAUCAUGGCCCUUACGACCAGGGCUACACACGUGCUACAAUGGCAUAUACAAAGAGAAGCGACCUCGCGAGAGCAAGCGGACCUCAUAAAGUAUGUCGUAGUCCGGAUUGGAGUCUGCAACUCGACUCCAUGAAGUCGGAAUCGCUAGUAAUCGUAGAUCAGAAUGCUACGGUGAAUACGUUCCCGGGCCU